UUUACAGGGUCAGUCAUAGUAGUAUGAUAGGUGUUGUUUUACAGGGUCAGUCAUAGUAGUAUGAUAGGUGUUGUUUUACAGGGUCAGUCAUAGUAGUAUGAUAGGUGUUGUUUUACAGGGUCAGUCAUAGUAGUAUGAUAGGUGUUGUUUUACAGGGUCAGUCAUAGUAGUAUGAUAGGUGUUGUUUUACAGGGUCAGUCAUAGUAGUAUGAUAGGUGUUGUUUUACAGGGUCAGUCAUAGUAGUAUGAUAGGUGUUGUUUUACAGGGUCAGCCAUAGUAGUAUGAUAGGUGUUGUUUUACAGGGUCAGUCAUAGUAGUAUGAUAGGUGUUGUUUUACAGGGUCAGUCAUAGUAGUAUGAUAGGUGUUGUUUUACAGGGUCAGUCAUAGUAGUAUGAUAGGUGUUGUUUUACAGGGUCAGUCAUAGUAGUAUGAUAGGUGUUGUUUUACAGGGUCAGUCAUAGUAGUAUGAUAGGUGUUGUUUUACAGGGUCAGUCAUAGUAGUAUGAUAGGUGUUGUUGUACAGGGUCAGUCAUAGUAGUAUGAUAGGUGUUGUUUUACAGGGUCAGUCAUAGUAGUAUGAUAGGUGUUGUUGUACAGGGUCAGUCAUAGUAGUAUGAUAGGUGUUGUUUUACAGGGUCAGUCAUAGCAGUAUGAUAGGUGUUGUUUUACAGGGUCAGUCAUAGUAGUAUGAUAGGUGUUGUUUUACAGGGUCAGUAUAGUAGUAUGAUAGGUGUUGUUUUACAGGGUCAGUCAUAGUAGUAUGAUAGGUGUUGUUGUACAGGGUCAGUCAUAGCAGUAGGAUAGGUGUUGUUUUACAGGGUCAGUCAUAGCAGUAUGAUAGGUGUUGUUUUACAGGGUCAGUCAUAGUAGUAUGAUAGGUGUUGUUUUACAGGGUCAGUCAUAGUAGUAUGAUAGGUGUUGUUUUACAGGGUCAGUCAUAGUAGUAUGAUAGGUGUUGUUUU